rnacentral:rRNA from 1 species
AUUGAACGCUGGCGGCAGGCCUAACACAUGCAAGUCGAGCGGAUGAAGGGAGCUUGCUCCUGGAUUCAGCGGCGGACGGGUGAGUAAUGCCUAGGAAUCUGCCUGGUAGUGGGGGAUAACGUCCGGAAACGGGCGCUAAUACCGCAUACGUCCUGAGGGAGAAAGUGGGGGAUCUUCGGACCUCACGCUAUCAGAUGAGCCUAGGUCGGAUUAGCUAGUUGGUGGGGUAAAGGCCUACCAAGGCGACGAUCCGUAACUGGUCUGAGAGGAUGAUCAGUCACACUGGAACUGAGACACGGUCCAGACUCCUACGGGAGGCAGCAGUGGGGAAUAUUGGACAAUGGGCGAAAGCCUGAUCCAGCCAUGCCGCGUGUGUGAAGAAGGUCUUCGGAUUGUAAAGCACUUUAAGUUGGGAGGAAGGGUAGUAGGUUAAUACCUUGCUGUUUUGACGUUACCAACAGAAUAAGCACCGGCUAACUUCGUG